rnacentral:rRNA from 1 species
AACGAACGCUGGCGGCAUGCCUAACACAUGCAAGUCGAACGAGACCUUCGGGUCUAGUGGCUCACGGGUGCGUAACGCGUGGGAACCUGCCCUUAGGCUCGGAAUAACUCCCCGACAGGGGUGCUAAUACCGGAUAAUGUCUUCGGACCAAAGAUUUAUCGCCCUUGGAUGGGCCCGCGUUGGAUUAGCUAGUUGGUAGGGUAAAAGCCUACCAAGGCGACGCUCCAUAGCUGGUCUGAGAGGCUGGUCAGCCACACUGGGACUGAGACGCGGCCCAGACUCCUACGGGAGGGAGGAGUGGGGAAUACUGGACUACGGGCGAAAGGCUGAACGAGCAAUGCCGCGUGAGUGAUGAAGGCCUGAGGGUUGUAAAGCUCGUUUACCCGGGAUGAUAAUGACAGUACCGGGAGAAUAAGCACCGGCUAACUCCGUG